UACCAGGGAUGCAGAAAUUUCAGAAAAUAAAAUACGCUGUAUUUUCUGUCCAUCUAUUCUGAUCUUUCAUUCUGUUAUUGUUCUCCAUGUCACAUCUCAAAGGGGAAGGGGAGUAUCCCAAAACGUUACAGUUUGUGUACAUGCACAUAGUAUGUGUAUAGUGUUGUGAAGAAAUCAGCUUAUGAAAAUGUGGCUUGUGUGGUACUAGUGAGUAACAUUUUUCUCCCCCCUUAGCUUAGUAAACUGGGAUUGUGUUGCUUUAAGAAUUCUCAGAAAUGCCUUCUAGUUCUAUUGAUAAAAUAUUCUAAGAUAAUGUAUGCUGUUCAUUAUGAGCAUUAUGGUUUGGUACAAAACAAAUUUCUCUUUUAACAAGUGGUGUGUGUACAUGCAGGUGAGAUUCAGAAUUUUCAUCUCUAGCAUCUUCAGGUAAAAAUGCUUAGGUAGGUAUGAAAACUGCUUGAGACUUCACUCAUUCCUGCAGCUUACUAAAUAACUCUGUCUAUUACAAGGCUAACAGGAUAUGGAAAGUUUUUCCUGGCUGCAGGUUAUGAAUAAAUUUAGUGAAUAAGGUCUGUGCAGUAUUUAGUUUAUCUCAAGUCUCAGGAAAGAGCUUCUCAAACAGAGAGCUUCAGUAGGACUCUUUCCUCACGUGAAGGUUGUGUCAUAUUUUAAGAACUCAUCAAAUGUAUGUCUUGUUUCAUACUUGACUUGUAGUGUUCAGAUUUAUGUCAUAUCCGAAGUACCUGAUUGCUCUCUAAUUUAGGACAGACAGUGCUACAUCCUCUAGGAACCAGUUGGUGGGAUCAAGAAUGACUACAUCGGUAGCAAGUGAGGAAAAAAUUUGGAUGCUUUAAGACAACUUGUGUAAGAAAGUGAAAUUAAAUAUUAAUAAUUCUUAGAGUAGAGGGAGAACAUCAAAAUAAAAAUCAUUCAACUUCAAGAAGGCAGACCACAGAAAAUUGACAGGUAAGAUCUCACUUCAGACUUGUCUUCUGAAAGAGAGAAACUGAGGAAAUAGGACAGUUCCCUAGAGAUGUGAAGAUCAUGACUGAAAGUACAUCCCAGUACAGAAGGAGAUUAGCUGUAAUAAGAGAUCAACUCAGUUAAACGAGGAAUUGCAUUGACUUCAGAUACAUGGAGGGAAGGCCUAUGGAAGGUGGAAAUUAAGAACAGGUUAACAGAUAAGGAUGAAAGUAAAUGAGAGGUAACUGUUAACUGACAGAGAAUAAACACACAAGUAGUAAAAGAUUUGUACUAAUGAAAGUGCUAACUACUUAAAAGAGGACAGCUAUUGACACAAGGGAUUGUGUGUUUUGGUUCAGAUUUUCAAUUCAUGUAUUGAAUUUUUUUGUUUGUUAUAGUGAUGACUGAUCCAAAAGUCAAAAGUCAACUGCCGUUGUAUAGCUCAUGCAAUUGGUAUGAGUGAUGAAGACCGAAAAAGCUUACCUAGAAAAAGGAAAACAGGAUAGAAAAUACCUACGUUUUGUCAAAUUGCCUGUGUCUGAAGAAUUUCUUCCUGGUACUUUAAAGAACUAAUAUGAGGACCUUCAGCAUUUUAAGAUCAUCUUUGAAAGCUAGUGUAAAUCAAGAGAAGUACCAGAUGGCUGAAAGAAAGUAGAAACAGUGUUUUAAGUUUUUAAGGACAAACUGGAGGAGAAGAUGGAAACCGUAGAUCAACUGACCUGACAUCAAUUCUUUUUUUUUCCUUUCUUUUCCUGACAAGGAAAUAUCAAAAUCUGCUGUUAACAUCAGGAAGAUAUCUAUGACACACAUAACAACUGAUAAGUAUUUGCUAUGAUCAAGUCACUUAAACCCAGUCUCAUUUCCUUUUAUGACAAAGUGACAGGUCUUGUGGAUGGGGAUAAGAACUAGUUGCUAAGUCUUGGUUUUAGUAAGGCUUUGGACACUGUUUCACGUGACUCUUUCAUAAGCAAACCCAGGAAACAGUCUAGCCAAGCAGACAAGGCCCUAAAAACAAGUAUUAGUUGAUCAGGGUCAGAGUGUGCGGAUCGGGAUUCUACGUGUAGCUUCUCUGAAUGCAAUAGAAGGAUAAAGAAGCGUGCCUACUGUAUCAGUACCAAAUUGACAGAUGUCUUAUAAUCCUGUUCUGUAGCAUACUUGUAACUCUAACAUCUCAACUGGCGAAGUGGUUUCCCAAAAACCAGGAUGCAGUUCAUAAAGAUGACUGUGAGAUGUUGCUGUUAAGCAGCAGUCAGCUUUUUCCAUUUAGUUUUGCCAGCUUUCUUGAAUAGAAGACUUGAAUUUCAAAACAGUUUUGAUGGUUUUCCUUAGAAAAUUGCUCCAGUGUUAAAAUGGCUGUUGGUGCAAACAGCUGUCAGUUACCACCACCAAAAACUAGAUCUGAAAACAUGUUUUGCAACGGUUUUUAAUAAUGGAAAUAUAAAACAAGUUGUAACAUCUUAUAAGCAAUGGAAAAUUAAAAUUUUAUAU
ensembl:lncRNA